CUCAAGCUUCUCUUAUUCCAUUCUGCCUCUCUCAGGGUGUUCUCCUCUGCCAAAGUGGGGGGACCCUCUUCUGAUGUUUACGCGAGUCUCAAGUCCCCAGGGAUUCAUCUCACUGUGAUUUAGCCAGGGCCUUGUUGCUUCUUCGGGAAUCAGAUGGCUGGACCACGAAAGCCCAGCGCCUUUCCUAUCCUGAAAGAAGCUCCGGGGAAACCUUAUUCAAUACGUGGAGUUAGGGAGCUGCAUCCUUAGCAUGAAUUCAGGAGGUAUCUUUUCUGUUUGAGAUCAGGCGUCAAAAGCCAUCAUGCCACAUUGCUUAAAAACCUGGCCCCUGGAACCGGAACACCUGGGUUCAAAUCCUGCCUGUGCCUCAUGUCCUUGGGCAACUUUCCUAGCGCUUUAUAUGUCAGUUUCCUCAUCUGCAAAAUGGGGACCACAGAAGCUCCUCACCAGGGGCUGCCGUGAGAAUCAAUGGGGCUGGUGUGUGACGAUCAGGUGACCAGGGCACCUUGGUUGGUUUGACUCACUGUGAGCCCCACCCACAGCACUGCACAAGCCCUCUCAGCACUUAGGGUCAGAGAAGUUCAAAAUUUUUGAAUUUCAGGAAAGUAAAAUGGUGCAUGUACCGAACAAUCCCCAAACCCGAUGGUGGGAUCUAUUAAUAUUUAAGGGCAACACUCUUCAUAUUUCUGUGACACAGCACAGUCUCCACACCCUGAGCAGGAUCAUUAAAUGCAUUUUUAUAGUCAGUUCAGGUCAGAAACUGCUACUGCAUGAGUCACAUAUCAGAUCAGAUUUUGCCAUCAAAUGAAUUACAGAACAGGCUUUUCUGUGUAUUUUAGACUUCAGAAUUGAGGACAAGAGGUUUUUAUCUGGUCUUACAAAUGCCAGUGCAGUCAGGGCCCAGGACAUGGGGUCCAUGAGUGAGGGGUCCUGGGGCUGUGAGAGAUGGAGCCCACAGAGGGCACAGUGAGUUCGACUCCAGCGGAAGGAGACUCCUGGGCAAGAACGUCCAAUGCCGCAGGACGUCAAGGUUUAGGUGAAGUCUCCUGGUUCAUAAAUGUUGUAAGAUGACAAAAUUUAAAGCGAGGGUUGGCAAGCCAAGAAAAGCUGACUUGUAAUGUUGUCCAGCCCAUCGGGAACUCCAGGUGGACAAAGAGAGUGUGGUACCCGGGUGGCCGCCAGGCCCUCCCUGGAUUGUCCUGCCUUUCCCGGGCUCUGCCUCACUCACUCUCCCUUUUCAAAGGUUCUGGUGAAGGAUCUGAAGUGUAUGGCCACACCAGUCCCAGAAGAGCCUGGGAGAAGGGAAGAUGGUGAACACAGUGGAGUUCUGCUGCAAAGCCGAAGAUGGUUCUGGCACGUGGCAUGACCCACAUGACUCAACAUCAGGAGAUCUGACUUCAUAAAAGUGAACUAUCACAAUGCUGCUUUGCAAGCUGUGUGUGAGUGUAAAAGCGUUGAAACUUCCUCAAUAAAUGAAAAGAUAUCUUUUUUGUACAUCUGCAUUUGUGAAAGACAACAUUUCUCCAGAUCUCUCUCAGCUCUUUGGGUGACUGCAUAUGUAUGUGGCGGGGACCCAUCGAGGUUGCUGCGCGAUCUUGUCAGUAGACUUAGGUUGUCCGUCACGGCACUUCAGGUGACCGCAGUUAUACGCCAGGUGCACACAAUCACCAACCAUAGCGAUCUGCAUUACCACAUCUCCCUUUCUGACCCAUUUCCUUAUGAAUACGGUUCAUCUGCUCAUAGUUGAUAUACCUGUGUGACUCUCAUUAGCACACCUGUCUAUGCUUACAAAAACAUGUGUGUUCUUACUGCCUGUUUUAUUAAAGUGGCCUAUGAAGUGUUCCAUU
rnacentral:lncRNA from 10 species